GGGUUGUGAGGUUAAGCGACUAAGCGUACACGGUGGAUGCCCUGGCAGUCAGAGGCGAUGAAGGACGUGCUAAUCUGCGAUAAGCGCCGGUAAGGUGAUAUGAACCGUUAUAACCGGCGAUUUCCGAAUGGGGAAACCCAGUGUGACUCGUCACACUAUCAUUAACUGAAUCCAUAGGUUAAUGAGGCGAACCGGGGGAACUGAAACAUCUAAGUACCCCGAGGAAAAGAAAUCAACCGAGAUUCCCCCAGUAGCGGCGAGCGAACGGGGAGGAGCCCAGAGCCUGAAUCAGCAUGUGUGUUAGUGGAAGCGUCUGGAAAGGCGCGCGAUACAGGGUGACAGCCCCGUACACAAAAGCGCAUGUGCUGUGAGCUCGAUGAGUAGGGCGGGACACGUGGUAUCCUGUCUGAAUAUGGGGGGACCAUCCUCCAAGGCUAAAUACUCCUGACUGACCGAUAGUGAACCAGUACCGUGAGGGAAAGGCGAAAAGAACCCCGGCGAGGGGAGUGAAAAAGAACCUGAAACCGUGUACGUACAAGCAGUGGGAGCACAGGUUUACCUGUGUGACUGCGUACCUUUUGUAUAAUGGGUCAGCGACUUAUAUUCUGUAGCAAGGUUAACCGAAUAGGGGAGCCGGAGGGAAACCGAGUCUUAAUUGGGCGUUAAGUUGCAGGGUAUAGACCCGAAACCCGGUGAUCUAGCCAUGGGCAGGUUGAAGGUUGGGUAACACUAACUGGAGGACCGAACCGACUAAUGUUGAAAAAUUAGCGGAUGACCUGUGGCUGGGGGUGAAAGGCCAAUCAAACCGGGAGAUAGCUGGUUCUCCCCGAAAGCUAUUUAGGUAGCGCCUCGUGAAUUCAUCUCCGGGGGUAGAGCACUGUUUCGGCUAGGGGGCCAUCCCGGCUUACCAACCCGAUGCAAACUGCGAAUACCGGAGAAUGUUAUCACGGGAGACACACGGCGGGUGCUAACGUCCGUCGUGAAGAGGGAAACAACCCAGACCGCCAGCUAAGGUCCCAAAGUCAUGGUUAAGUGGGAAACGAUGUGGGAAGGCCCAGACAGCCAGGAUGUUGGCUUAGAAGCAGCCAUCAUUUAAAGAAAGCGUAAUAGCUCACUGGUCGAGUCGGCCUGCGCGGAAGAUGUAACGGGGCUAAACCAUGCACCGAAGCUGCGGCAGCGAACGUAUCACUUAAAGCGAUUCAGCGGGUUACGAUUGACGGAGCGAAGCGACGUCAAAGCGUAUACAAAGUCGAGUCGGUUUAAGGAUACGUUCGUUGGGUAGGGGAGCGUUCUGUAAGCCUGUGAAGGUGUGUCGUGAGGCAUGCUGGAGGUAUCAGAAGUGCGAAUGCUGACAUAAGUAACGAUAAAGCGGGUGAAAAGCCCGCUCGCCGGAAGACCAAGGGUUCCUGUCCAACGUUAAUCGGGGCAGGGUGAGUCGACCCCUAAGGCGAGGCCGAAAGGCGUAGUCGAUGGGAAACGGGUUAAUAUUCCCGUACUUGGUGUUACUGCGAAGGGGGGACGGAGAAGGCUAUGUUGGCCGGGCGACGGUUGUCCCGGUUUAAGCGUGUAGGUGGUGUUUCCAGGUAAAUCCGGUUCACUUAAAUCACUGAGGCGUGAUGACGAGGCACUACGGUGCUGAAGCAACAAAUGCCCUGCUUCCAGGAAAAGCCUCUAAGCAUCAGGUAACAUCAAAUCGUACCCCAAACCGACACAGGUGGUCAGGUAGAGAAUACCAAGGCGCUUGAGAGAACUCGGGUGAAGGAACUAGGCAAAAUGGUGCCGUAACUUCGGGAGAAGGCACGCUGACAUGUAGGUGAAGUGAUUUACUCAUGGAGCUGAAGUCAGUCGAAGAUACCAGCUGGCUGCAACUGUUUAUUAAAAACACAGCACUGUGCAAACACGAAAGUGGACGUAUACGGUGUGACGCCUGCCCGGUGCCGGAAGGUUAAUUGAUGGGGUCAGCGCAAGCGAAGCUCCUGAUCGAAGCCCCGGUAAACGGCGGCCGUAACUAUAACGGUCCUAAGGUAGCGAAAUUCCUUGUCGGGUAAGUUCCGACCUGCACGAAUGGCGUAAUGAUGGCCAGGCUGUCUCCACCCGAGACUCAGUGAAAUUGAACUCGCUGUGAAGAUGCAGUGUACCCGCGGCAAGACGGAAAGACCCCGUGAACCUUUACUAUAGCUUGACACUGAACAUUGAGCCUUGAUGUGUAGGAUAGGUGGGAGGCUUUGAAGCGUGGACGCCAGUCUGCGUGGAGCCGACCUUGAAAUACCACCCUUUAAUGUUUGAUGUUCUAACGUGGACCCGUGAUCCGGGUUGCGGACAGUGUCUGGUGGGUAGUUUGACUGGGGCGGUCUCCUCCUAAAGAGUAACGGAGGAGCACGAAGGUUGGCUAAUCCUGGUCGGACAUCAGGAGGUUAGUGCAAUGGCAUAAGCCAGCUUGACUGCGAGCGUGACGGCGCGAGCAGGUGCGAAAGCAGGUCAUAGUGAUCCGGUGGUUCUGAAUGGAAGGGCCAUCGCUCAACGGAUAAAAGGUACUCCGGGGAUAACAGGCUGAUACCGCCCAAGAGUUCAUAUCGACGGCGGUGUUUGGCACCUCGAUGUCGGCUCAUCACAUCCUGGGGCUGAAGUAGGUCCCAAGGGUAUGGCUGUUCGCCAUUUAAAGUGGUACGCGAGCUGGGUUUAGAACGUCGUGAGACAGUUCGGUCCCUAUCUGCCGUGGGCGCUGGAGAACUGAGGGGGGCUGCUCCUAGUACGAGAGGACCGGAGUGGACGCAUCACUGGUGUUCGGGUUGUCAUGCCAAUGGCACUGCCCGGUAGCUAAAUGCGGAAGAGAUAAGUGCUGAAAGCAUCUAAGCACGAAACUUGCCCCGAGAUGAGUUCUCCCUGAGACUUAAAGUCUCCUGAAGGAACGUUGAAGACGACGACGUUGAUAGGCCGGGUGUGUAAGCGCAGCGAUGCGUUGAGCUAACCGGUACUAAUGAACCGUGAGGCUUAACCUUACAACGCCGAAG
rnacentral:rRNA from 1 species